rnacentral:lncRNA from 1 species
CCACUGCUUCCCUCUCCCUGGAAGCAUAUGCAGGCUGCACACUGGCACAACCACUAUCAAGGGGAUAAGAGCCUGCACACAUGGAGGAAAAAGAUAGCAAGCAUCAAAACCAAAAGCAGCCCACAUGCCAAAAAAAAAAAAAAAAAAAGUUAGCCCUCACAAGCUACCCAGGGGUGCUCUUGCAUCUAAAUAGCCCUCCAAGACUACAGUAGAUAACUGUCUUCCUUAAGCACAGAAUAAGAAAAAUAGAAGCAAAUGGAAGAAGCUCAGGAACAGGAUAAUUCCGCUGAAGGGGCAAAUAAGGAAUUAGACCUCUGCAGUCUAAUAGACACUGAGUUCAAAAAGAAGGUAAUGAAAAUAUUAAGGAAUUAAGAGCAGAUAUGAACAGUAAUGCAGAUUACUUUAAAAAGGAACUAGAAACUAUAAGGAAGAGGCAAGAAAAAUUAGAAAAUUCAUUUGCAGAAACCUGAGCUGAGUUAAAGGCAUUGAAGAGCAGAAUGAAUAAUGCAGGGGAAUAAAGAAGUGAUUCAGAAGACAGAAUAAUGGAACUCACCCAAUCAAUGCAGCAGAGAGAACACCAAAAUGAAAAAACAUGAAAGGAUUAUAAAAGAUCUAUGGGAUAAUAUAAAGCAGGCCAUCUACACAUAAUAGAAAUUCCAGAAGAAAAAGAAAAGGGGAUUGAAAAUAUAUUUGAAGAAAUCAUGGCUGAAAUUUUUCCAAAUCUAAAGGAAAUAGAUAUCAAGAUACAGGAAAAAAUAGAGGGCUCCAAACAAGUUGAACCCAGACAGACUUACACCAAGACAUAAUAAAAAUGGCAAAAAUUAAAGGAGAGGAUUCUAAAGCCAGCAAGAGAAAAACAAAAUAAUUAAUUAUAAAGGAACCCCCAGAAGGCUAUCAGCUAAUUUUUCAACAGAAACAAUAUAGGCCAAGUGAGUAGCAAGAUACAUUCAAAGUUCUAAAAGAGAAAAGUUUGUAACCUGGAAUACAUUACUCAGCAAGAUUAUCAUCUAAUAUAGAAGGAGAAACAAAGAAUUUCUCAGACAAACAAAAACUAAAAGAAUACAGCAAUACUAAACCUAUUCUAAAAGAAAUAUCGAGGAGAAGGAUCAAUAUGGCAAAGGAGUAAGGUGUUGCACGCUCAUCUUCUCCCACAAACAUUAAAAAAAACACAUCUACAUGUAGAACAAUUUGCACUGAACAUCUACUGAAUGCUGGCAGAAGAACUUAAACCUCCAAAAAGGGCAAGAAACCCUCCACAUAACUGGGUAGAACAAAAGAAAAAAGAGAGAGAAAGAAAAGGAAUCAAGAUGGAACUAGCACACUGGGAACUGUGAAAGUGAAAAGGAGCCCCCACCCUGGGAAGCCACCUUAUGGAUGGGGAGGUCAGACAAGACAGAGGGACCUCAAAUUCACCAAGAAAAGUGCAGUGAAGGACGGCAAAGCAGAGUGAGAGCAGAACAGAUCAUAUGCACCACCGCCAAGAUACAGCAGCCUGAGAUGCUUGGGCGGGCGCUGGGUGCUGAGACUCGGUCUAGAGGUCAGUUCCAGGGACAGGACUAGGGUUGGCCAUGUGGAGACAACCUUAGGGGCUAGGCAGCAGUGUGCCACAGUCUGGGGAGCAGAAUGCCACAGUCAAGGGAACCGGGAGGAGGUCUGGGCCCACAGGAAAAUAAGGCACCACUGUUGGUGAGGGCACGAGGACAAGGGGCACCAUAGGAUUUCCCUGCCCACACACAGGCUCUCAGAGUGUGGGGUGUCUCUGGCAUAGGCUAUGGGUGGCAAGAGGCCACUUGCUCAGGCUAUGGGGGGACCAGGUGCCUAUUGGAUGGGCUACGGGUGGCUGGGCACCUCUUGUGUGGGCUAAGGGCAGCGGGGGGCUAAGCAUGAUGUGCCACCUCUUAUGUGACCUACAGGUGGCAGGGAUAAGCCACAGAAGUCAUCUCAAGAGGGGACGUAGCCCACCACCACUAGGGGUCUGUGAACAGGCUCCACCUGUGGCCCCAGUCAUCUCAGAAGUUGGCAAAAAAAGAGGACACUACAACUGACCAGCACCCGUUGAUGCUCUCACUCCUUUGGGAACACACCCACCCUGCUGUUGCCACGGCCAAACGGUCUGGGCAGUGCCCAUACAUGCACACACAUUACUUUCCAGGACCCUACAACUAGGGUCCUGUGCAGCAACUCCUGCAUGGGCUAAGCAGGACAGGGUGCUUAUGUGGUCUACAGGUGGCAGUGGUAAACCACCGCAGUUAUCUUUGACUCCAGAGGUCGGUGUGGCCUGCCACCACUAGGGGCCUAUGAACAGGCACAACUUGCAGCUGCAAUUGCCUCAGAGGGCACCACAAAGGAGGGCACUGCAACCAAACUCCACCACCCCUUGUUGCUCUCACUUCCCUAGGAACUCACACACACUGCCACUGCCAAAUGCUCUGGGCAUGCCUAAAUCUGCCUGAGGCUCAUCACCACUUCCCAGGGCUCUGCAACUUGGAGUAGCCUAUGCCACCUUCCUGCAGGUCCUUGCUACUGUUAAGGGUGCAGCAACCUGGCACUGACUAUUAGCCCUGCCCAUUGCCUUCUUCUCCCUGAAAACACAUUCAGCACCCCAUCAAGGGGAUAUACUAUUCACACUGAAGAAAGAGACAGCAAAUAUCCAAAUUCCCAUGCCAAAAAUAAAGAGUAACCCCCCACAAAAUACAAAGGGGUACUCUUGCAUAGAAAUAGCCCUCCAAGACUACAGUAGUUGGUUUCCCUAAACUCACAGAAAAAGAAAAGUAU